GAUAGGCUGGGUGUGUAAGUGCAGCGAUGCAUUGAGCUAACCAGUACUAAUGAUCCGUGAGGCUUAACCUUACAACACCGAAGGUGUU
rnacentral:rRNA from 1 species